GAUGAACGCUGGCGGCGUGCCUAACACAUGCAAGUCGAACGAAGCACUGAGAGUUUGAGAUUUCGGUCAAGAACUUUCUUUGACUUAGUGGCGGACGGGUGAGUAAUGCGUGAGCAACCUGCCUUUCAGAGGGGGACAACAGUUGGAAACGACUGCUAAUACCGCAUGAUAUAUUCGGGAUCGCAUGGUCUGGAUAUCAAAGAUUUAUCGCUGAAAGAUGGGCUCACGUCUGAUUAGUUAGUUGGUGAGGUAACGGCUCACCAAGACUGCGAUCAGUAGGGGUUCUGAGAGGAAGGUCCCCCACAUUGGAACUGAGACACGGUCCAAAACUCCUACGGGAGCAGCAGUGAGGAAUAUGGUCAAUGGGCAGAGCCUGAACCAGCCCAAGUAGCGUGCGGGACG
rnacentral:rRNA from 1 species